GAAUCAAUGAACACAAAUUACAAUUCACUAAUAUCUACAAGAAACUACCACUUUUAGCGGCGACGCCGCUAAAAGUCUUGAUCCGGAACAAGGGAUUUGCAAUUGAUCUGGGCCGUUGUUUGCUUAACUAAUCGAAGGGCUAGGGUUUAUCCCUGAAUAAAACAUGUCUAAAAAGGCUCACAUCCUGUUUUAGCGGCAUUUUCCCUCUUUCCCACCAAGAUGAAAUCUGCACACAUCGCCCUAGCAAAACCUUGAGUCUGCCGGAGUGCCGCACCGCCUUCACUCUGCCGGAGCACCUCCAUCUCGCCUGAUUCUCCGACGCCACUUCGAAAACGGGUGUGGGAUAACGCCCCCUAUUAAACAAAAUUAAAAAAAAAGGUUUAUUAGCUGCAAAGAUGUGGGCCCCACCUGAUAAAGCCCUUCUUCCUCGUUACCAUGAUAAAGCCCCAUCAAUGGCGCCCCGGUUUAACUUGCUUGGUGUGGAUGGUGGCACCAAGGGGGGCGCUAUAGGCGGUGAUGUGGCACGAUGGAGCCCUCCGUACCCUCCGGCCUAACAACCUCCCUCAGUCGCAGGGUGAGCAGAUCUAAUGCAAAGACUGGAUUUGAAAUGAUUAAACAGAUGUUGGGGUAGGUCUUUAGUAAAGAUGUCUGUGCAUACUGGCAUAAAGAACCCGAACCAAACCGAGUCGAACCUUUUCCUGGACGAAGUGGAUGUCAAUCUCGACAUGCUUUUUACGAUGAUGUUGCACCGGGUUUUGAGCAAGAUGCAUGGAUGAAAUGUUAUCACAAUAGAUUAUUGAUGCUUUGGUAAUAGGCACAUGAAGUUCCAGAAGUAGAUUUCGAAGGCAUUGGCGACGCCUUUAUAUUCUGCCUCGGCACUAGAUCUUGAAAUAGUAGGUUGACGUUUUGAAGCCCAUGAGAUCUAAAAAAACACACAAUAUCCCGAGGUUGUCUUCGAGUGUCAGGACAACCCCCAAUCGGCGUCUGAAUAUGUCAUAAGAGUAACUGAAUCGGAGGGACUUAGAUGCAACCCUUAGUCAAGAGUUCCUUUUAGAUACCUUAAGAUGCGUUUGAGGAACUUAAAAUGGGGUUCUCUAGGGGUAUGCAUGAAUAAACACACUUGCGUUUGAGGAACUUAAAAUGGGGUUCUCUAGGGGUAUGCAUGAAUAAACACACUUGCUGCACGAAGUAGGCGAUAUCGGGUCGUGUUAUGGUCAAAUGUUGAAGAGCACAAACGAGGCUUCUAUAAAGAGAACCAUCAGGAAGGAGUGCACCGGUGUUUGCACUAAGUUUGUUGUGUGUAUCAGCGGGAGUGGCACUUGGUUUGCAAUUUUGCAUAUUUGCUCUAGCAAGUAUGUCAUCGACAUAAGAUUGUUGAGAUAAAAGAGUCCACCAUGUUGAGAACGAACCUGUAUGCCAAGAAACUGGUGCAAACAACCAAGGUCAUUCAUUGCAAUUUAUGUGACAUCAACUUGAUAAAGUGACGGAGUAAAGAAGUAUCAGAUGCUGUCAAAAUGAUGUCGUCAACAUAUAAUAGCAAGUAUGCCAUUUUAGUACUGGGAGGAGGAUGUAUGGUGGCUAGGUUGGGUUGGUAUAAGUGUGUUACAGUGGGACAGGAGUGUUUGGUGGGAAGGGUAUAGGGGACGAAGUAGGGGAUAGUGUGUUAGAAACGGGUAUGGCAGUGGGUGUAUGUGUUGGGUUAGGUGGAAUAUUAGUGGCUGAAUCAUGAGUGGGUGUGGUGUGUAUUUAGAUUAUAGAAAAUAUGAGGAGAAUGGUCAGUGUCAAGAAAAGAAUAAGAGGGGUGAGUGGUAUGAGUUGAGGAAGAGUAUGGGAAAACAAGUUUUUUUUUUUUUUUUUUUUAUAAAUGUGUAAAAGUGUUGUCCUACAUGAUGACUGUACGAAUACAAGACAUGUGUACUUAAGGACAAUUGAGUUGUAAGGUGAUGUUUUUAAAUUUUGGCUAA